GACGAACGCUGGCGGCGUGCUUAACACAUGCAAGUCGAACGGAAAGGCCCUGCUUUUGUGGGGUGCUCGAGUGGCGAACGGGUGAGUAACACGUGAGUAACCUGCCCUUGACUUUGGGAUAACUUCAGGAAACUGGGGCUAAUACCGGAUAGGAGCUCCUGCUGCAUGGUGGGGGUUGGAAAGUUUCGGCGGUUGGGGAUGGACUCGCGGCUUAUCAGCUUGUUGGUGGGGUAGUGGCUUACCAAGGCUUUGACGGGUAGCCGGCCUGAGAGGGUGACCGGCCACAUUGGGACUGAGAUACGGCCGAGACUCCUACGGUAGGCAGCAGUGGGGAAUACUGCACAAUGGGCGGAAGCCUGAUGCAGCAACGCCGCGUGCGGGAUGACGGCCUUCGGGUUGUAAACCGCUUUCGCCUGUGACGAAGCGUGAGUGACGGUAAUGGGUAAAGAAGCACCGGCUAACUACGUG
rnacentral:rRNA from 1 species